AAAAAAAAAAACUCUUAAUUGGCUUUAUGUCUUACUCUAGAAUUGGGCAACACUUCAUUCCAGGUGUUCUCCAGUUCUGCUAUUUUCGUUACCCUGCAUUUAACAGAUUGCGAUGAGACAAUGCGCACGGAGGGCUCUUCCACCACUGAGGCUUAAGAGUGGAUCUGAGUGCCCUGGAAAUAGACCUUACAGGGUAAAACAAAACACUGGCUCAAAACAAGGAAGCGAACCAACAAAAGGCCCCACAGAUGGAAAACCUGCCACCUUCCGCCACCUCCCAAAGGUGGAGCCGGCCAGGAGCCGGGUUCCCGAGCGCGCUCCCGGGAGGGCCUGGUAUGGAGAGUCCGGACUUAGGUGGAGGCCCUGUGGCGCGGGCUCCAGGACCCUCGGCCCCGGAGGCUGCAAGCCAGGUCCUUCUGAAGUGUGUCUGGAGUGAACCAGAAAGAAUACAAACGCAUGAAUUCAACAGAGGAUGUUCUGACCAGUGUGCAGUCUACCAGUGCCCUCGGUUUCCUUAAAAUGCUCAAAGAGAAGGAGAAAUAAAGGGGGAAAGCCAGGCCAAAGGCCCUCCAAGGACCCACACGUCCUCCAGGACCCAGUGCUGUGGUGGACUCUAACAUACCCAGACCUCCCUCUGCUUGGGAAGCUGGCCCAAGAGGAUCUGGGGAAGACUCACAGCAGUGUCACAUUUGAGGUGACAUUUAAUGAGAGUAUUAGACAUGGAAAAUGACAACCCCCAAAAGUAGGGGGCCCUGGGAUAAGGAAGUGAGAAGGAAAGCCCAACGUUGAGAGCACUGAUCCUUUCCCAGUGACAGAACAAACCCUGAGGAAGAGGUGUCCAUCAGCCCUAGAAAGGCAGUCUCCGGGAAGAGGCUGAAGCAUUAACCCUUCUAAAAAUAAAUCCUUUCCAGAUAACCUUCACUGACCCCAGGCCCUCCUUCAGGUCCAAUACAAUAAAUUCCAGAAACUGACUACUGACCCUAGACUCCCUCCCAUUUCAAACAAACCCUCAAUUCCUAAGCACUAAAACUGACUCCUUCACUGACUGAUAGAGCAAACUCCAAAUUCCUGGGUGCCCAGAGAAAAUUGACAUGGUCACCAGACCACCUCUCAGAAUAACCUGUAUAGGCCCAGGCCCCUUCUUUGUUUGGGGGCUCAUUUUCCACCAGGAAAGUGGGUCCCACCACAGCUCAUUUCAUUCCUGCAUCCCCUGCUUCUGUGUGAAAUUUCCUUUCUGAAUGAAGCGCUGAGCAGAUUUGUGAAGUUUG